rnacentral:rRNA from 1 species
CCAGCAGCCGCGGUAAUUCCAGCUCCAAUAGCGUAUAUUAAAGUUGUUGCAGUUAAAAAGCUCGUAGUUGGAUUUGUGGUGUACGCAAGGCUUCCGUCCCUCUUGGGUUUCGGUGUUGCCUGGUGUUGCCAUCCUUGGGUGAAAUCUGUGUGGCAUUAGGUUGUCGUGCAGAGGAUGCCCAUCGUUUACUGUGAAAAAAUUAGAGUGUUCAAAGCAGGCUUAUGCCGUUGAAUAUGUUAGCAUGGAAUAAUGAUAUAGGACCUUGGUACUAUUUUGUUGGUUUGCGCACCGAGGUAAUGAUUAACAGGGUCAACUGGGGAUAUUCGUAUUCCGCUGUCAGAGGU